rnacentral:rRNA from 1 species
GAUGAACGCUGGCGGCGUGCUUAACACAUGCAAGUCGAACGGAAAGGCCCAAGCUUGCUUGGGUACUCGAGUGGCGAACGGGUGAGUAACACGUGGGUGAUCUGCCCUGCACUUCGGGAUAAGCCUGGGAAACUGGGUCUAAUACCGGAUAGGACCACAUUUUGGAUGGUGUGGUGGAAAGUUUUUCGGUGUGGGAUGAGCUCGCGGCCUAUCAGGUUGUUGGUGGGGUAAUGGCCUACCAAGGCGUCGACGGGGAGCCGGCCUGAGAGGGUGUACGGCCAGUUUGGGACUGAGAUACGGGCCAGAGUCCUACGGGAGGCAGCAGUGGGGAAUAUUGCACAAUGCGCGCAAGCCUGAUGCAGCGACGCCGCGUGGGGGAUGACGGCCUUCGGGUUGUAAACUCCUUUCGCUAGGGACGAAGCGUUUUUGUGACGGUACCUGGAGAAGAAGCACCGGCUAACUACGUG